rnacentral:lncRNA from 1 species
AAUAUUUAAGUCAAUACAUGGCAAACUCCUGUAAAGCAAAAUAAAUUACUCUAAUUUUGGACAGUUCUUCUGAAAAUUAAGAGGUGCCAGCCAGAGAGCUUGCUGCACUCACUCUUCUAACCAGGCGGCCUGUGCUGCCACAAACACGGUUUGCAGCGUGAUGGGUGGGCGGGCAACAGAAUGUCACCAAACGCCAAUCAUCCAGUUUUAAUGAAUCAGCGUCAGAAUCAAUCAUUGCUUUUUUACAUGGCGUUCCAGAAGUUUCUCUACUUGGGCUACAGAAGCAAAGCCAUAGUGUUACACAAUACUUAUUUCUUUAAAAAAAAAAUACAUGUCUUUACGCCCAUGAAUGUCAAACUCAAGUUUCUAUUAAAUAUAUUUAUAGACUAUUACUUUGAGCACCUUGCUGCACAAUUGAAAACCUGAUUAAAUAAGUGCUUAUGAAACUGAGACCAGAGACACCUGCUCAUCUUUGUCAAGCCAACUACGCUGCAGAGAUGCGAUGUAAACAUGAUGCUCACAUUUGUUUUGUGAGGAAAAGAACAGUAAUUACAAAGCCACCGAUGGUAACCUCGAACAGGGGACUGAGCGGUCCAGGGCAGAAGCUUCAGCCGGUAUCGAUCGCUGCGUGUGGUCAAGCCACAGAUAAAGUGAACAGGCACAUGGCUGACAGGCCAGUGAGGGCAUCUGCCAGAGUCCUGUGAUCACAGCAAGGGACAAAAUGAUAUUUAUAAAGGUCACAACUGGCACCUCUCUCUCCAUCUAAUGUUUACUGAACACAGUAAUUUUAAAGCAGUAUUCCCCAUUUGCUCUUAGAAGCGCAGGUGGUCAGAGCAAGAGACAAAAAUCAGGGUUUCCCAUGCCAAAGCUUAGAGCAGUGGUCAGGAUACUCCUCUGAGCAGUGACCCUGACCGGGUAAGAGUCUCCCCAGCAAUGACAACCAUACAUACAUGCUUGUGUUACUCAGAAUCUUGCUUCGUGGUAGAGCCUUGCUGUAAAUGCUAUCAGGACAUGCAGGGCCCAGGCCCAAGGGCUCAUAUGAACGCACGACAGAGCGGAGGCUCUGAACCUUUGGGUUAUUACAUUUCCCCGUGGGUGGGGGAAGGCUUGCACUCAUGCUUGCUAUCAUGUGGUCUGAAGGGACGUGGAAGCAUCUUCUGAAGAGCCAGCCGCCCUGCUGAAAUGGUAGGGGGUUUGGGUGAUUACUAUUUUUUAACCAAUUGUGGAAAAUUAAAGCCACAGAAAAUUCACUGAAGGCUAUUAUUGGUUAGACUAACAGCAAAAUGAAAACCAGACCCAGUAGGCACAAUAGCAAUGGGUGAUAAAAAUGGAAACAUGAAUUUUUUUUGCAUUUGGCAUUAAAUAUAAAUAUUUGAAUUGUGAAAAUAUGAGAAAAUUCAUCUAAGUCCAUAUAGAAUAAAUUUAGGGAAAUUGAAUUAGUAUCUAUAAAUCCAUUUUCUUAUUAAAAUCCAUAUAACAGAAAUGAAUUAACCUUCACAGAUAAAUUAAGCCUAUCUUGGCAGGUGUGAUGGCUACUGCCGUUAAUCCCAGCACUUGGGAGGCUGAGGCCAGCCUGGUCUUCAUGAGCUCUAGGUCAGCCAGGACUACACACAAAGACUCCGCUCCCCACCAUCCCCCAAAAAGCUACCCAAAAUCAGUGAAUGGAAAAUUUUUAGUCAAUUUUCUUUAAAUAGUGUCAUCAAAAUUAUGGUGGAAAAACAUAAAACAAAUCAGAAAGUGUUUCCACAGGUCUGGAGCUCACCAAGUACCAAACUUGGUUGGCUGGCCAGCUCUAUCCCCAGGAAGCCACCAGUCUCUGCCCUCAGUACUGGGAUUACAAACACCACCGUGUCUUUUUAGUGUUUUCUUCUGUGAGUUCUGGAGAUGUGACUCGGAUCAUCAUGUCUGCUCAAAAGCACUUUCCUGACUAAGAUACCUCACCAGCUUGCUUCCAGAUUUUGCUAUUAUGAAUAAAGUUACUAUAAACAUGUGGAUACAGGUUUUCUGGGAAUAAAAGUUUUUAUUAAGUAGGGAAAUACCUGUCUAUCAUUUCUAGUUUGUAUUGUGUAACUAUGAUCUUUUUGGAAGCCACAAAUGUACCUAAUUACACACCUAACAAAUCAGACAGCUCAGCUCCCACCUAUACCCAAGAUACAAGGCUGUCCAGACGGGCACAGGUAUGAAUUAACUCGUACCCUAACUGAUCCCAGCUUACCUUUAAGACAGCAGUUUUUAUUACAUGUCCUAAGGACUAAGAAUAAGGCCAAGGGUCUCUGACCUUGAGAAACACU